rnacentral:rRNA from 1 species
AACGAACGUUGGCGGCGUGGAUGAGGCAUGCAAGUCGAACGCGAAAGCCGCAAGGUGAGUAGAGUGGCGGACGGGCGAGUAACACGUAAUCAAGCUACCUGCGAGACGGGAAUAACCUCGGGAAACCGAGGCUAAGACCCGAUGGUCUUCAUGGACCGCAUGGUCUGGGAAGUAAAUGGGCGGGAUCCGUUCGGGAUCGCCUGCUCGCAGAGGUGAUUGCGG